rnacentral:rRNA from 1 species
GAUGAACGCUGGCGGCGUGCUUAACACAUGCAAGUCGAACGGAAAGGCUCCUGCUUGCAGGGGUACUCGAGUGGCGAACGGGUGAGUAACACGUGGGUGAUCUGCCCUGCACUUCGGGAUAAGCCUGGGAAACUGGGUCUAAUACCGGAUAGGACGAUGGUUUGGAUGCCAUUGUGGAAAGUUUUUUCGGUGUGGGAUGAGCUCGCGGCCUAUCAGCUUGUUGGUGGGGUAAUGGCCUACCAAGGCGUCGACGGGUAGCCGGCCUGAGAGGGUGUACGGCCACAUUGGGACUGAGAUACGGCCCAGACUCCUACGGGAGGCAGCAGUGGGGAAUAUUGCACAAUGGGCGCAAGCCUGAUGCAGCGACGCCGCGUGGGGGAUGACGGCCUUCGGGUUGUAAACUCCUUUCGCUAGGGACGAAGCGCAAGUGACGGUACCUGGAGAAGAAGCACCGGCUGACUACGUG